rnacentral:rRNA from 1 species
ACCAGGUUGAUUCUGCCUGACGCAGAUGCUAGUUUCUAAGAUUAAGCCAUGCAUGUUUCCGUAAUUAGGGANGAAUAGCUCAGUAAAAMUGCGAUAAUUUAGUCUGAUUGAGUAGAUAACUACGUGAAAAUGUAGCUAAGGGUGAUUAGAAUAAGACGCAGAACUAUCAGUUAGUUGGUAGUGUAAUGGACUACCAAGACGAUGACGGUUAACGGGAAAUUAGGGUUUUAUACCGGAGAGGGAGCCUGAGAGAUUGCUCCCACGUCCAAGGACGGCAGCAGGCGCGAAAAUUGCCCACUCUUUGUAGGAGGCAGUUAUGAAACGUAAAGAAGAAUAUNUNNUAAAGANGGAUAAGAGAAUUGGAGGGCAAGUUUGGUGCCAGC